ACAAUGAUAGCUCAAUCGGUUAUAGCGUGGGUCUAAUAAGGCCAGGGUCGCAGAUUCGACCCCUGUUAGCCUCACAUUGUU